UACGUAUGGUGCGAACGUUGUUCGGAAUCACUGGGCAUAAAGAGCACGUAGGCGGUUAAGCAAGUCCAUUGUGAAAUCCCCCGGCCUAACCGGGGAAUUGCAUUCGAUACUGGAUAGCUAGAGUUCGGCAGAGGGAAGCGGAAUUUCCGGUGUAGCGGUGAAAUGCGUAGAUAUCGGAAGGAACAUCAGUGGCGAAAGCGGCUUCCUGGACCAGAACUGACGAUCAGGCUCGAAAGCGUGGGGAGCAAACAGG
rnacentral:rRNA from 1 species